rnacentral:rRNA from 1 species
AGUGGCAGACGGCUUAGUAACGCGUGGGUAUCUACCUAGAGGUUUGGAACAACUAUUGGAAACGAUAGCUAAUACCAAAUAUUCCCUAAGGGGGAAAGAUUUAUCGCCUUUAGAUGAGCCCGCGUCGGAUUAGCUUGUUGGUAGGGUAAAGGCCUACCAAGGCUACGAUCCGUAGCUGGUCUGAGAGGAUGAUCAGCAAGAUUGGGACUGAGACACGGCCCAGACUCCUACGGGAGGCAGCAGUGGGGAAUAUUGCGCAAUGGGGGAAACCCUGACGCAGCGAUGCCGCGUGAGUGAAGAAGGCCUUAGGGUUGUAAAACUCUUUCACCGGUGAAGAUAAUGACGGUAGCCGGAGAAGAAGCCCCGGCUAACUCCGUGCCAGCAGCCGCGGUAAUACGGAGGGGGCUAACGUUGUUCGGAAUUACUGGGCGUAAAGCGCGCGUAGGCGGAUUAGACAGUUGAGGGUGAAAUCCCGGAGCUUAACUCCGGAACUGCCUUCAAUACUACUAAUCUUGAGUUCGGAAGAGGUGAGUGGAAUUCCUAGUGUAGAGGUGAAAUUCGUAGAUAUUAGGAAGAACAUCA